rnacentral:misc_RNA from 1 species
AAGACUAUAGACCUGCGGAGUACCUGCGGAAGGAUCAUUAUCGUAUUGUAACAAUUGGGGGGGCCACCGUGGGCUGUCGCUGACCCUUUGAAAGGGGGGUCGUGCACGCCCCCAUAGUGUCAUCCUCAUACAAUCCAACUCACCUCUGUGCAUCACCGCGUGGGUUCCUUUCUGGGUCGAGUCAGACUGGCUCAGAAAAAAGGGGCUUGCGUUUUCCAUACAGAUACCCUUAUAAAUCCA